AUCGGAUCCAAAUUGAUUGGAGCAGCAGACAGCAGUACAGGUACGGCUGUGUGCCUAGUAGAAGCACCAAGAAAGGACGAGAGAGAGAGAAUGUCCUUGAAGCUUCUCCGGCUGCGUACCGCCGGGCAAUGCCACUUCCUGCCGCCGCUGCUGCUGCUACAUCUCGUCCCCGCCCUCCUGCUCCUGCCGCCCUCACGCCCGGCGUUGGCGGCGGCGGCGACGGUGGUCACCCACCUGCCAGGAUUCGAUGGCCCUCUGCCCUUCAACCUUGAAACAGGAUACGUGGGCGUGGAGGAGGAGGCCGGGGCGGAGCUCUUCUACUAUUUCGUCGAGUCGGAGAGGAGCCCCGGCACGGACCCGCUGCUCCUAUGGCUCACCGGCGGUCCCCGCUGCUCGGUCAUCAUGGGCCUGGCCUUUGAAAUCGGUCCUCUGAAGUUUGUGUUGGCACCGUAUAGUGGCGGUUUGCCGGAGUUGGUGUAUAACCCAUAUUCAUGGACAAAGAUGGCAAACAUACUCCUGUUGGAUUCACCGGUGGGUUCAGGUUUUUCGUUCGCUCGUGAUCCCAAAGGCUACGAUGUUGGGGACUACUCAUCAUCUUCGCAGGUCCAAACAUUUCUGAAUAAGUGGUUCACGGAUCACCCGCAAUACCUUUCAAAUCCUUUCUACAUUGGUGGAGAUUCAUAUGCUGGAAAGGUGAUUCCACUUAUUGGACAAGGCAUUUCAGAAGGAAUUGACAUGAGGCAACAACCUGUUAUCAAUCUCAAGGGAUAUCUGGUUGGCAACCCUAUAACAGAUCCAAAGUUUGAUGAAAAUUACAAAAUUCCAAGUGCUCAUGGCUUUGGGAUAAUAUCUGAUCAAAUAUAUGAGAGUGCGGUGAAGAAUUGUAAAGGAGAUUAUGUUACCCCCGUGAAUGAAAUGUGUGUUGAAGUGUUGCAUAUUAUCAAUAAUCUCAUUUCUGAAAUUUCAAUUGAACACAUCUUGUACAAAAAGUGUGACGUUGUUGCGCCAAAGACCAUAGAUGAUGCUUCAAGAAGAAAGUUUUUGUUGGAAGAAUCUACCCAAUUAAACAAGCCACCUGCUCGUCCAACUGUAGAUUGUUUUACAUAUGGUUAUUACCUAGCUUACUUUUGGAUGAACAACAACAUGACCAGAAAAGCUAUCGGGAUCAAGGAGGGAACAACCAGUGAGUGGAUACAAUGCAACAUAGGGCUCCCCUACACGUAUGAGAUACCGAGCAGUAUACCAUACCAUCUCAACCUCACUACGAGAGGUUAUCGUGCACUUGUGUACAGCGGAGACCAUGAUCUGGAGGCACCAUUUCUUGGCACACAAGCAUGGAUAAGAUCCUUAAACUUUUCGAUCGUUGAUGAAUGGAGAGCAUGGCAUCUUAGUGGGCAGGCUGCUGGAUUUACCAUAGAAUACACAAACAAUAUGACAUUUACCACAGUGAAGGGUGCUGGUCAUACUGCUCCAGAAUACCGGCCUAAAGAAUGUUUUGCCAUGGCUCAAAGGUGGUUGGACAAUGAGCCUCUCUGAGAAAGAUUUGGUGUGGGAGAGAAAAGCAUCCAUCAAGGCUAGAUUUAUCUAAUCAACUUUGAAUGUGAAUUAAAUGGGCGAACUGUGUUAGGGCAUCUCCAACGGCGACCCUCAAACCUCCCGCAUACGUCCAGACAACGCUGUCCGGACAACUGAAGCCAUCUAACACAGGGCUUGUGUUCUGCUCAGGAAGACAAGACGGCAGCGGCUACCUGAAGUUGGAAUAAGGUUCUCCCCCACCUAGCCUCCAUUAUGAUGGCGCGUCUAGCACUAUCAAAGGGCGUGUGGAUGUGUGUUUUUGGCGGAUCUCACGGGAUUCGGUUGGCGUUUGUCUUCAGAGGAUCCAUUUGGAUCCGGUCUUCGUUCGUCUGUGUUCAUGCGUCUUCAGAUUGGAUCCUUCGUUCUACUCUUCUCUUCAUCGGCGGCGGUUGCUGUUUAGGUGUGUUGGUCCUAUUGGACCUUAGCACGACGAUUAAUUCUCAACUAUCAACUACAACAAGGUUUGCUCUGCUCC